AACCUCUAACCCACGCUGAGGGCCAGAGAAAUACCUGGUGAGCUGCUCUGCCAGCUCCCACACCUCUUCUGCUGCUGAAGGAAAUAGGGGUCUUUUCCAGGAGGGGCUAUCAGGUGUUGCUGACAAACUGUUGGUACAGCAGAUCACAUAAUCCUAAACCACCCCUGUGCCUCUCAGACCCACUCACUCCUUGCCAAAGAUGAAGCCAAAGUAGCUCUAGAAGAGGCACCCACCAUGACUCUGAGAUGGGAACAGGGCAUCCCCCUCCCCACAGGCUGCACCCACUGUGAUACACAGUGGGGUGGCACCCCCACUGCCACUAUCACAGCACUGCUCUCUUGCCCCUCACUGACACCCACUCCAGGAGCUCCAAGUGAUGGGUACAUCUCCCACCACCUGCUUUGCUCCUGGACAGGUUAAAGGGUGAUGCCACAGAAGCCCAGCUCAGGGCCUGGACUGUCCUGCUGAGCUAACCUGUUACAAGCUGUCUCCCCACCAGUGCCUCACCACUGGUGAAUAUCACUCAUCACACUGUGGUCAUUGUCACUCAGCCCCACAAGAACAGCAUCCAGGACUCCAUCUUCCCUAUCAGCUCUGCCUGGAGGCACCUCUUCUGCUUGAAACCUCAAUUAGUGCCACGAAUAAAGAAAUCUCUAUCUUCGUAUUACUCGCGCCCUUUGCUCCUCUCACAUGGAUGAUCCAGGACUUCCUAGGAAACACAAGGAAGGCUCUCCAUUACCCACUUCUGCUCCCUGUGGUGGAAACACCCCUUCCUUCCUCUCUUGCUUCUCAAAGAGGCUAAAAAUACCAGCAAAAUGAAACAGCUCUGACUCCUCUCAGCUCCAUCACUGGCAGUGAAAGUCUGAGCAGGACCUACACGUGUAUUUUGGCCAACUUCCCUUGCCAAUGGCCAUGGCAUCACAGGUAUGUGGGAGUCUGUCUCCAUUUGUGAGAGAGACCCUGGAGAAUCCCCCAGGAGAACCCUGUCCUUGCAGGUUAUGAGUGCUUUCCUGAAGGAUGUGCCAAGCAGCACCUGAAGGUGGGCAGCCCUGCUGUAUGCAUGAGAACUGAUAAACUUGGGAUUCUCAGGGGCUGUGAGCAAGAGUACACACAUGGGUGCAUGAACAGAGGCAGAUGUUACCUGCCCAUGGCAGGAGCAGCUUGAUCACAGUCCUAAGAACCCCUUAUGAUUAAGCCCAUCCCCUGUCAGCCCACUGCCACUGCAGAGGAUUUUCCAUGCAGGGCAAAAUCAGGGCAAAAAAAUGAUGUGAUGAAGCUGGGCACUCCAACAGGCCCAGCUGCCCAAGCCAUGCUCUGAUAGUCUGCUGUUAGGUGCUGUGUGCAAGUCCUGUAACCAGCACCACUGGAAAAAAUAAUAUUAGCCUACAUUUGGCUGGGCCCUGUCUUUCUCUUCCAUCUCAGUGGCUUUGUUCGAAGCGGUGAGAAGGUGCCUCUCCCUCCACCAGAGGAAGACAACCCUUUUGUCCCCCCUCACAAGAACACAGGUAGCCCCAUUCCGACGCCCAGCUCAUUCCUUGCCUCCAGACAGGCUUUGCUGACAGCUCCAGAUGAGCACGACAGACACAGAAAACAAACCAGAGCUAAAGUGAUUUUUGCCUCAGCCUGAAGGUGCGUCUUUGAACUUCCCGACAAGACUGGGAGAACUUCUUCCCCCAGAGAGACCCUCCCUUCCCAAAGGGCUGUGAUUUCUGACACGGCUCCCUGAGUAGUGGAGUAGUUUCCCCUCUCUCCUGACCUGUGGAAGUAACUCUCUGAGGGUUUCUUUCCCUAGGUGCCUUCCUGCCCACUAGCUAGGUGGAUGCCCUUUGCUUUUAUCAGGGAAAGCUGAAGGAGAUAGAGGGGAUCACUCCGUGACCCCUCCCAGUUCCAGCUACAUUAGAGCCACCGUGCUGGGGACAGUGGGACAGGUAACACUGAGCUCUGCAGGGCCCUGCAUCCAGCUGUGCCCCAGCUGUGCCAGUCCUCCCUGUCCCUCUAGUGCUGGGUAGAGGGACCCCUAACCCAGAGAGGCCCCACAGAGAGAAAGCCUGCCACAAAGGACUGCCAAAGCUUCUUAGCAGGGCAAGGAGCUGCAACACAGUGUCCCAGAGAAAGAUGUUAAGGAGUUCCAGUGAACCCAGACUGCACUGCAAGGCUUUGGGAAGCUUAAGAACAACGGGAGGGUGGGUGAGAAUGACUUUUUUACUGCUGUCUCCUAAAAUGCUGUUAUUUCGUCGUGAAGAACAGACACCUCUGGAGGACCUCCUGGCUAAAGGAGGGAUCACCUCACCAUUCCUUUCCUCCCACUUCUUCUCAGACAACACCAAACCAUCACUGCCAGGCCACUCUGCCUGGUCUCUUCAGAGCUUCAGUCUGCUUGCUGGCCAGGACUGAGCCCUCUCUCAAUUCAAGCCACCUGAAUACUUGGGCUGGUAUGUCACCGCUCGGAGCUGGGGGUGCAGGUACAUGUAGCAAAGGGCAGAAAUCUGAAACACCUCAUCCUGCAGGCAGCCAGCAGGGGCAGAGCCCACCUCGCUGCCAGCCGUGCUCUGAGCCUUCACUCUGAGCCACGCUCAUCACUGCUGGGGGCAGCUCAUCUGUGGGGACAGCCCCUCGCUGAGCCCUGCACAAGCCAAGCUGUGACACAUAACCCAGCUUGUGUUUCACAAGCAUGGCUCCCUUCUCACACGACACUCCCCGCCACAGCAUCGCCUCUGAUCUGCCAGGCCCUGCCCCAGGCUCAGACACAUCACUGCAUUUUCUUCCACUUACACCUUGAGCUUGGUGCCCGGGGAAGAUUUUGCACUCCUGCCUUGAUUCCCCAGUUUUCCACCCAGCUGCACAGCCUCCUUCACACAGUCAGUUCUUCCCUGGAGCAGGCUGGCAGCACACAGAGCUCCUUCUCCAAAGAUCUGAGGCACAGCCAGAAGCAGCAGCUCGCUCUCCCUCCCAGGGCACAGCUGUUUGCUGGGGAGCAGGAGGGUGCCCAGGGGACAGCCGCUACCUCCAGGACAGCAGGACAGGUGGUAGGCCCAGAGCUGCUCGGCAGCUCAGCCUCCAGCCCUGGCUCGGUGGCCAAGCCCCCUCUCCGUGGUGGAGGAUUCCGGAGGCAGCGUUUAAUCGCUGGCUUUGCAGGGUACACCAGCCAUGUUGCAACAGCUCCCAGCAGCUCUCGCAGGCAGCGCUGCAAUAGGAGGCAGCUGCCAAAGAGCCUGAGCCACCAGCAACGGGGGUCUAGAAGCAGAGCCCUUCAAAUAUCAAUUGCCUGAGCACCACCUCUGCUUGGCUGCACCCAUCUGUUUCCUCACAGGGACCCAGGGGCUCCCCAACCUCAGGGGCUGGGCCUCACAGAGGAGGGCACGGUCUCAGCUGUGGUCCCAAGUGUGGAUCAUCCCCUCCUUUCCACCCAAAAUCUCAGCAUGCAAGGCAGCUGGUACUAUUCCCCUUUCUCAGGCAGCUCCCCCCAGCACCCCUGGGUGGCAGAGGCAAGCAGAGAGCAAUGGCUGACGAGGGCACAGCUGCCAGGAGCAGCGAGCCACCCCUGAUAGCAAGCGAACACUGCACCUGCAGGCGGGGCAGGGCUCCUCCCUUACCCACCCAGCACAUCCCUCUCCCAGAGCUACCCUCAGCAGGCACCAGAGGCUCCAGAACCCACAAGCAUGCCUGGUCUGGCCCAUGCCAUCGGGAGUCCCUGUGACAAGCCUCAUUGGGUUUCAGAGGAGACACAGCCCCCUGCAUCCCAAAUCGAUGGGAGCACUUGGUAUUGCUAAGAGGAUCAAUUCUGGCACUCUCCCACCGUCUCACUUGGGGUUCCUGUUUCACAGGGGCAGGAAGGAAGCAGAAGCACCUGGGAUUUCUAGGAAAGGGCUGGAAAAAGGCUUUCCUUGGGGAGGGGAGAGAGAUGAAGCUUUUUUCUUCCAUGGGGAAGAGGUGUUGGAAGAGGAGAUGAGCCAGCUGCAGGACAGGCACGGCGCAGAUGGAAGCGUCACCUCGCACUCGACCCCUCGGGAACGCCGGCCCCGGCGGGACAGAUGUGCCCGCAGCUGGAGGCUGCACCCUCGAGGGCAGGUGCGGGGCACGGCCGCGCUCUCCCAAGGCCGGGAGGAGCAGCGCCAGGAGCGGGGCCGGCUGGCCGAGCGGGCAGGCAGGAGCCCCGGGCGAGGGGCCGGACACUGAGGGCACUGGCACGGGUCUCUUCGGCAGCGGGGAGGUGCCUGGAGGCAGCAGGAGCGGCCACGCUGUGCUGUGGCACCCCCGGCGUGUUUGCCGCACCUGGCAACAGGUCUGGCAGCCUCAGUGCAAACCUGCCGAAGUUCACCAGGGCUGCAAGCACUGCAAAGGGAAUUUAAAAACAGCAUACACACGCCUUCCACAGGCACAAAGGAGGGGAAAAAAUACAUCUCAAGGUUUCAGGUCUCUCCCCAGAAGGACAAACCCAUUUUUGUAUCCAGCUAUGUCUAAGAAGAAUUUUAUCUUGGGUGGUACUGCUGCUACUCUUCCUUACUGUCCUGAGCAGGUUUCUCUCCCCUGCCUCUCCUCCCCAAGCUUUGCAGGCUAUCUGUGCAGGUUGUGCUGUGGACAGAAGUGGACAACAUCAGUAUUUUUAGAUCUCAAGGCUACUUCUGUACCUGAACAGAAGAACUUUCUUUAUUCCCUGUGCUCGCAGUGCCUGUCUGUGACAGUCCUGGAUGGCAGGAGUGGCACUUUGGCAGUUCAAACAUCCGGUCCCAUCAGUUCCUCACACCGCAGAGCUGACUGCCAUUGAGGCGAUGUAUUAGUUCUUGGCCAAGACCCAGGAUGUCAGCUGCUCCUCCAGAGAAGAGCAGGCAGAGCCCUCCAAGGCAUACAGUCCUGCUCAUACAGACUCUCAGGAGUCUUAGGCUCCUGCCAGAGAAACUGGAAAGAGAUGUUACUCCUGGACUAGAGUGGAGACAAGCACACACCUCUAGGGUCACCAUGUGCAGGUAAGCUUGGGGCAGCCUCUUGAGAAUGAUCCAAGUGUCCCCUUUGCCGUUUGGAUGCACAGACUGAACUGUAUUACAUGCAGGACACAAGAGUCACCAGCAUUCAUCCAGGGAGCUUUGAUGUAGCUCCAUCACAAAGCACAAACCCCGCCUACCAAAAUGUGAUUUCUCUGCAGCAUGGCUGUUAUUUGGCCUCUGACCUGGGACAGAAAGUAAGGAUGCUGCCUUUUCCCACAGCCAGAUCACAACCACUGCAACUCACCACUGCAGCUUGGAUGCCAAGCACCAAAAGCUCACCCCUUGUGACCUGACCUUCAGUCAAGUCACCAGCGUGGCUCAGGCUGGCUGGCAGAAGACCCAAUUUGACCUUCCUACCUGCACUACUGUCAGUCAGGUCGAUUCCAUAGAUGCACAGCAGAGCACAGGGCCCCUGGGAGAGUGCAUGCACAUCUGCUGCAAAUUAGGAGACAGCACUUCUGUCCUAGCCAGCAUCUCUGCUCACAAGGUAUCUGCUGAUUUUUCUCCUUCAAAUUGUCCAGCUGACCAUCAGGUUCACUUCAGACCAACUCAGCCUUAAAGGAAACCUGAGGAGAGGUUAUGUGCUCAGAGAAGUUUUCCUGCUCCUCUUCCCAGCUGGUCUCCACCCAGAUGCAGCUGUGAUACCAGACUGCUCUUUCCAUCAGCCAUCCUUCUCACUGCUCUUCCCACCUCUGCCUCAAAUGGCCAUAUUUCCAGCUCCAUUUCUUCAUAUCCAGGUGUGUUUUCUAUUUUCAGACCUUUCAGACAGUUCCUCUUGAAGCCAUUCCAGCUCCUUCUUUGUGCAGACAGAAGAGACAUGGAGGAAGGGAAUUUUCUCAAGCACCAGCACAUGGAGCAGGCAGUUCUGCUUAAAAUCCAAGAUUAGCCAUUUCCAAUCCACUUCCUUCCAUCACCAUCAUUCCUGUGACAGGUAAAACAGAUAUCCUGGCCACCACAGAGGAGCAGCCUCAAACCCAGUCUCUCCAGCUUUAAUUUACAUUAUUCUACUCAGGCUAGAAAAAGCUGGACUGAGUUUACUGUCAUUCUGGCUUGUCAUAUUGUAAGGCACAGGCUGCUGUUUUCAAAAAGUUUUUGCCAUGUGUGAGCCACCCCAAGCACUGAAGUUGUAUUUUUUCAAGACCAGAAGGUCCUUGCCAGAAACGAGAACAAUUCAGCAAUACCACGAGCUGAGGCACUUCUGUCCCAGAUCAGCCCCACUGCUGAACCUCAACAAGGAACUGCAUGGCUUCGUGCACUUCCCAAGUCCUGCUGGUUACUAAGAAAAGUAAUGUACCUCGUGGAACUCUGCUAAGAUAGAGGUUCCAGUAAGUGGGUCUACACAGGAGCACCAAGGAGGAUGGCAGGAUGCACAAGAACUUGACUCUGUGUCCUUGCUAGUCAUUAGAUUGCUAAGUCUAGUGUAUUUAAUACAAGUUCAUGACUUAGCCUGGAAGUCAUUAGCCAAGGGUCCAUCACUGACAGGAGACCCAAGCUGAGCAGUUGUUCAGAACUCUGUAGCUUUCUGCCCUAUCCACCCUCAGUUGAAAGGAGCCUCUAUGCCACCCAGGGAGCAGCCCAAAGCCAUUGCUCUCGGAGCAGCAAAAGGCAACUGCUCCCUCUGCCCGAGCAAAGGGCUCACACCGUGCUCACUGUGUCAGCUCAGGUAUGGCCAGCUUGCCCUGAGACACAGAAAACAGGAGCCCCCAAACUGGCAUCCAUUUCAUGCUACUUUCUUUACAACAGCCUCCAGCAGUCCUCUGCUGCUUCUGAAACAAAGAUGGUAUCUUUACUAAUGGUUACUGAUGGCUUCUUUCCUCACAAACUGGCCACAUCUUUCUGAACUCAAACUGUUAGCACCCACAACUGAGGAAGAACUUGUCACAAAGCUAAGCAAGGCAUAGACUUGUUCAAUCUGCCAUCUUGUACUUUAACCAAGCAUGCCCAAUUCUAAAUAUUAAUGAAAACAAUGAACAGUCAUUCCCUACUUGUCACACAGUUUUACCCACCUUUAUCAUUUCUGUUGGGAAAAGAUGCCAGAGUGGAUAAAUCCCAGCCUACUUACAAGGUUUCCUGAAGGAAGCUUUUCCUUUAUCUUUAUUUGGCUGGCCUGAUGUGUGUGUCAUUCCCAGUGCCACUAUCUGAGCUGCACUUCUUCAAAAAUACCACCAUCCAUAUCCCAGGUACUGAGAGAAACCUUGCAAAUGUGAUCUUCCUCACCUCCACAAAGCCUUCUAGAUCACUUAAAGAGAUGUAGCCUCCCCUCCUUUUGACUCUUUACCCCCACAGAUCCAGCCCCAAAAAUUCCAUUUACCAAGUGAAAUAAUUUGGAUGACAGCAAAAAGAGGGUUAAAGACAUUUAUAAAAAGUUUUAUUUACAGACCUUUCAUUGCCUAAGCAUGAAACUCUCCAAAUGACAGAAGUCACAAUUUCUGUAACCUAUGUGUACAAAGUGCAUGUCUUUCCCCUUUCUUCUCUCUGUAGCAGAAGAUGGGGGUAGGGGAGUAUCUCUUUCUUUAUACCUUUAUGCCCCAAGACAAUGGGAGUAACAGCUGGGUCAGACUGAAGGGAACAAGACCUGUUGAUGACCGGGUUAUCCACCAGGCAGACUAUGAAUAGUAGUUUGGAAUAAAGUAAGGUUAGGAAAAGUGACUCUUUGUUUACUUGUUCAGUCUGCCCAGUGGACUCCCUGUGGAAAAAGAACAUAAGAUCAAUGCCCCAGGGAAUGAGAAAGAAAGGUUAUUCAGCUAUUCAUUACAUUUAUUCACAGACUCAAUUCAACCACUUCAGGUUUCUCAGGUACAUUUGACUCAGUUUCUAUUCGCAGCCCUGUUGCUCUGGGCUCAAACACAGGCUCCAAAACUGAAUCUGAUUAUCCUAGUGGGAGACAGCUCCUGUACUCCCCAAGCAGUUAGUUGCAUAAGCUCACAUAUAGCCCCACACUAUCCGUGUCAGGCAGGGAUGAAAGGUUUUGGACAGCAAAUGAAAACAGUGCCAACAGCAGCCCAUUGCACAGAACAAGC